rnacentral:misc_RNA from 1 species
UGAAUGCUGGAACUUUUGAAGCUGCGAUUUCAAUUUCUGCACCAGUUUGUGGGUUACGACCUUUACGAGCUGCACGUUCGCGCACUUCGAAGUUACCAAAGCCGAUUAAUUGUACUUUUUCACCUUCAGCAAGAAAAGCUUCGAUUGC